GCUAAAAACUUAGCCUUANCCCUACAAUUAUAUUUACCCUAUUUUACUUACACAAAAUAAAACAUUCUUUAAGCUUAGUAAAGGAGAUAAAAAAGUUUUUUAGAGCUAUAAAAUAAGUACCGCAAGGGAAAAAUGAAAUAAAAAUGAAACAAAAUUCAAGCAUAAUAUAGUAGAGUUUUCCCCUCGUACCUUUUGCAUCAUGAUUCAACUAGUUUAACCACGCAAAAAGAAUUUAAGUUUGACUUCCCGAAACUAAGUGAGCUACUUCAGGGCAGCUAAAUGAGCCAACCCGUCUCUGUUGCAAAAGAGUGGGAUGACCCUUAAGUAGAGGUGAUAAACCUAACGAACUUAGUGAUAGCUGGUUAUUCAGAAAAAGAAUUUUAGUUCAACUUAAAAUUACAUAAAUAAAAUAAAAUAAAAUUUUAAUUUUAAAGCAAUUCAAAUAAGGUACAGCCUAUUUGAAAUAGAAUACAAUCUAAACUAUAGGGUAAAUAUAAAAAAUUAAUGUAAUAAAGUAGGCCUAAAAGCAGCCAACUUUAAAAUAGCGUCAAAGCUUACUUCCAUAAUUUUUUAAUACUAUUAUUUACAAUGAACCCUUUAUUUUUACUGAAUAUUUCUAUAAAGUUAUAGAACCUUUUAUGUUGAAACUAGUAACAAGAAGUUAAACUUCUCCUCAAUAUAAGUAUAAGUCGACUAGGAUAAACCAUCGACAAUUAACGCUUAAAUUAAAUGUAUUAACUCCACAAGAAAAACUUACAUUACCCCACGUUAAUCUUACACGAGAACAUUUAAGGAAAGAUNNAAAAAA
rnacentral:rRNA from 1 species